rnacentral:tRNA from 1 species
GCCGUGAUCGUCUAGUGGUUAGGGCAUUGUGUUGUGGCCGCAAUAAACCAGGUUCGAAUCCUGGUCACGGCA